rnacentral:pre_miRNA from 1 species
CAAAUACUUCCUCCGUCCGGAAAUACUUGUCAUCAAAAUGGAUAAAAGGAAAUGUAUCUAGACGUAUUUUAGUUUUAGAUACAUCUCUUUUUAUCCAUUUUGAUGACAAGUAUUUUCGGACGGAGGGUGUAAAAA